rnacentral:rRNA from 1 species
AUUGAACGAUGGGGGCAGGAUUAAAACAGGCAAGACGAGCGAGCGGCGGAUGGGUGAGUAAUGUCUGGGAAACUGCCUGAUGGAGGGGGAUACAUAGUGGAAAUGGCAGUUAAUACCGCAGAUGAUCAGAUGUGCCCAGGUGGGAUUAGUUAGGAGGUGGGGUAAUGGCCUACCAAGGCGACGAACCCUAGCGGGCCUGAGAGGAUGACCGGCCACACUGGAGCUAAGACACGGUCCAGACUCCUACGGGAGGCAGCAGUGGGGAAUAUUGCACAAUGGGCGGAAGCCUGAUGCAGCCAUGCCGCGUGGAUGCUGAAGGCCUUCGGGUUGUAAAGCACUUUCAGCGAGUAGGCGUUACUCUCAGAAGAAGCACCGGCUAACUCCGUUCCAGCAGCCGCGGUAAUUC